UACGAGAGGCCCAAACGUUAUUCGGAUUUACUGGGCUUAAAGAGUUCGUAGGCGGCUUGGAAAGUGGGGUGUGAAAACCCUCGGCUUAACCGAGGAAUUGCGCUCCAAACUCCCAAGCUUGAGGAAGCUAGAGGUGAGCAAAACAGAUGGUGGAGCGGUGAAAUGCGUUGAUAUCAUCUGGAAUACCGGAGGCGAAGGCGGCUCACUGGGACUUUUCUGACGCUGAGGAACGAAAGCCAGGGUAGCGAACGGG
rnacentral:rRNA from 1 species